rnacentral:rRNA from 1 species
UACAGAGGGGGCAAGCGUUGUUCGGAAUUACUGGGCGUAAAGGGCGCGUAGGCGGCCUGUUAAGUCGGACGUGAAAUCCCUCGGCUCAACCGGGGAACUGCGUCCGAUACUGGCGGGCUUGAAUUCGGGAGAGGGAUGUGGAAUUCCAGGUGUAGCGGUGAAAUGCGUAGAUAUCUGGAGGAACACCGGUGGCGAAGGCGGCUCACUGGCUCGGUACUGACGCUGAGGCGCGAAAGCGUGGGGAGCAAACAGG